AAGUCGUAACAAGGUCACCGUAGGUGAACCUGCGGUGGGAUCAUUAAAGUUUAUUCAAACUUACAACACCUUGUGAAUUUCGUUUUUAUAAAACAUAACCGUGAGAGUGAUGGCAAGCUUGUAUCGCGAGUGGGAAAGAAAGGAUUUAUUAGAAUGUGGUGUAAUAGAUCCUUUUCGCUCCUUGUCCGCUCUUACGCUUCCCUUUUCCCACAAUUUUUAUUAUUUACCCAUUUGUAACAAAUUUUAAAUGAAUUAACUGGUGUUUGAUCGAAAGAUCAAUACACUUGCUUAUAUUAAAUAAGAAAUUUAUGUGCAACUCUUAGCAACGGAUAUCUUGGCUCCUG
rnacentral:misc_RNA from 1 species